rnacentral:rRNA from 1 species
UACGGAAUGUGCAAACGUUAUUCGGAAUUACUGGGCGUAAAGGGCUCGUAGGCGGCCAACUAAGUCAGACGUGAAAUCCCUCAGCUUAACUGGGGAACUGCGUCUGAUACUGGAUGGCUUGAGUUCGGGAGAGGGAUGCGGAAUUCCAGGUGUAGCGGUGAAAUGCGUAGAUAUCUGGAGGGACACCGGUGGCGAAGGCGGCAUCCUGGACCGACACUGACGCUGAGGAGCGAAAGCCAGGGGAGCAAACGGG